rnacentral:rRNA from 1 species
GACAGAGGGUGCAAGCGUUGUUCGGAAUUAUUGGGCGUAAAGGGCGCGUAGGCGGCCUCGCAAGUCAGGUGUGAAAUCCCAGGGCUUAACCCUGGAACUGCAUCUGAUACUGCUUGGCUUGAAUCUCGGAGAGGGUGGUGGAAUUCCUGGUGUAGAGGUGAAAUUCGUAGAUAUCAGGAGGAACACCGGUGGCGAAGGCGACCACCUGGACGAUGAUUGACGCUGAGGCGCGAAAGCGUGGGAAGCAAACAGG